UCUGUCCCGAGCGAUGUUUUCUCUCUGAUUCUAUAACCAUUCCUUUUCAGAGAGCUGUAUGCAGUCUGUGGAGAGCAGUAGUGCCCGGCCUGACCAUUGUUUGUACAGAUUUUUCCUGAUUUAGUCUAGCCUGACAGUGACCUCACAUUAUGCUAGCCGACAGCUCAAGGUCACUCUGCAAGGAGAACGAUGCCAAGUGGUUCGCACAAUGUGUCCAAGAGGAACUGAAUGUUGCACUGGAUGCCAGCCGUAUGGCUGUAUGGAGGCUGUGGAGAGCAGGAGUUCCCAGCUUGACCAUAGUUCAUACAGAUUCUGCCUGAUGGAGCCUAGGCUGAAAGUGACCUCACAUCAUGUGAGCCAGCAGCUCAACUUGGCUCUGCAAGGAGAACGACUACACAUGGUUCUCACAAUGCAUCCAAGAGGAACUCAAUGUUACACUGGAUGCCAGCCAUGUGAGUGCAGCUUUCCUAGUGGUAAAAUGAACUUCCACUGUUCUGUGCUCGAAAUCCAGGGGCCUGGCAGUCUCCCACUGUGACGAGGAGCUCCUCAAGUUGCUCCUGCCUGCAGUUGGUUAGGAGUGGGACAUGUCGGCCAUUCUAGGUAGAAGCCAAUGCUUCAAAUCUUUGAUUCGGG
rnacentral:lncRNA from 1 species